rnacentral:rRNA from 1 species
UACGUAGGGUGCGAGCGUUAAUCGGAAUUACUGGGCGUAAAGGGUGCGUAGGUGGAUCUAUAAGUCAGUGGUGAAAGCCCCGAGCUCAACUUGGGAAUUGCCAUUGAUACUGUAGAUCUUGAGUGCGGUUGAGGUAGGCGGAAUGUUGCAUGUAGCGGUGAAAUGCUUAGAUAUGCAACAGAACGCGUAUUGGGAAGGCAGCUUACGAAGCCGAUACUGACACUGAUGCACGAAAGCGUGGGGAUCAAACAGG